UGUAGUUCCGGCCUGCCUCGGAAGGGGAAAAGGUGAACCUGUAGUGGUGGAUGUUUGUGGCGCUGAAGUUGGCCGUGCCAGGUGAACCUCCAGGCAACGAUCCGUUAUUUUACCAAGGUCCAGUGAAGCAGAUUUUCUUUGGGGAAUGAAGAGAAUUGCUGAAUUCCGCCUACGGUUGCCUGUAGAGAAUCACACCUACCCACAAGGCUGUCUCUGUUAUGCAAAAAGAAAAACAAAGAACUGUCAAUAUUCUGGAUGCAACAGAAACCUGACUUGCCAGCUGGAUCAUUGGCAAAGGAGUCAGAAUAAGUGGGUAAUGCAACUACACACACGGAGACAAUUUUGAUGAAGGUAUUUAACACUAAGCAUCUCCUGAUUUGGAUAGAGAAGUGGAUUCUCAUUCUUGGCUCCACAACUUCCUUAGUUUCUGCAAUCAAUCAGUUUUAGGGUACAGAAGGUUUCUUCCACAGAACCUUUUGUUCCCCAGGAAAACACUUUGGGUUGCCAAAUAAAUCAAUGCCAAAAAGAGAUAUUUUACCA
rnacentral:lncRNA from 1 species